GAUAGCUAUGAGUCGCUGUACAUCAUGCAACAAUAAUAGUUAUACAAGCUUAACCUCUAAUAAAAAAAAUUCUUUUCAUAGAUUCCCUAUUAAGAAUAAAAUUUUGCUAUCAAAAUGGAUUAAAGCCAUAAAUAAGAUAAAUUUUAUUCCUACCAAAUACACCAAGCUCUGAGGAGCCCAUUUUUCAGAAGAAUGUUUUCUUCCCUCAGUCACAGGAUAUGCUAUUCUGAAGGAAGGAUCUGUACCAUCCAUUUUUAAUUCCAGACCCUUUCAGGAUCUAUAAUAUAUUCAUUUAAAAUUAAUAUUUUUUUAAGAUAACAAAUAUCCCAUUAAAUAGAAAUAAAAUUCUUAAAAGUUCUAACUUUAUAGUAAAUGAUCAUACUUAUGCUGCUAAUAGUUACUCCUCAACUAAAAGGAGAAAAUUAGAUAUCCUUAAUAAUACUCUAGAAGCUGAAGGCUUAGAAGAGCCUGUUAGAGAUAAUAGCCCAAAUACAUCUGCCAGCUAUCAAAAUACUCUUAAAGAUGAGUGUUUAGAGGAAUCGGAAAGAGAUGUAAACCAUAAUACAGCUGCCAGCUAUCAAAAUACUCUUGAAGAUGAGUGUUUAGAGGAAUUGGAAAGAGAUGUAAACCAUAGGAUAUACUUAGUAAAAAGCUUCUUCAGAUGAAUAUUGAUUCUACCAACUUAUUAAUUGCAAAUAACAAUGAAGAUGCUAAAUCUUCUAUUAAUAACCCUACAUUUCCUAAAUAUCAUGAUGAUCAUAUUUAUGCCACUAAUAUAUCAUCCUUAUGAAGGAAAUUUAUUUAUCAACAGAAAUAUAUUCAAAACUUACGAAAAAAGGUAAGGGCUUCUUCUGAUAGAAAAAAUAGACGAAAUAAAAAAAUUUACAAUUUACAAUCUUUAAUGAAAAAUUUGAAAAGUAAGCAUAUGAUAAAUGGCGAAGGGGAAAAUGUUAUAGAAGAUUUUUUUUCAGGCCUACCUUUAUCAUUUAUUAAAACUCAAGUUCAUAGUGGGGGAGUAAAAAAUCCUCGCAGAAUAAAAUAUAGUAGUGAAAUGAAGCAAUUUGCAUCAACACUACAUUUUUACUCCCCCAAGGCUUAUAAUUAUUUUAGAAAUCAAUUCUGCUUGCCUGCAGAGUCUACAUUAAGAAUCUGGAGUAAGCAAAUACAGAUAAGACCAGUUUUUUAGAUUCUUCCUUAAAACGGAUUAAAACAUUUCAAUCAAAUUCGCAUGUACAAUUAUAUCCUAUUUUAUGCCUUGAUGAAAUGUCUAUUCGGCUACAUAUUCAUUGGGAUAAAAAAGAAUUUCAUGGAUACAUCGAUUUUGGUAAUGGAAUAAAACCUUCCGAAUCUCUACCUGAGGCAAGUAAAGCAUUAUUUCUUAUGGCAACUUGUUUAAAUGGUACAUGGAAAAUUUCAUUAGGAUAUUUUUUAGUUGCCUAUCUGAGUUCUGAGACUUUAUCAAACAUAGUAACAAAUGCCCUCCAUUUAUUGCAUGAUACUGGGGUGAUGUUCAACAAAUAUAAAAAUGUAUCAAUUACUUGGUGCCUCUUUGGACCCAAAUAAUUGUAUUCCUUAUUUUCUUCAUCCGAGCAAUUACAAGGAAAAAGUUUGUUAUUUUGGACGUUUGCCAUAUGAUAAAACUCCUUAGAAAUCUACUCGGCGAUAAAAAAUUUUUAAUCAAUAAUGGAGUAGUAAUAAAUUAGAAAUAUUUAGCAAACCUUCAUGAUUUACAGGAUAAGGAAGGACUAAGGGCUGCAAAUAAAAUUGGCCAUUCUCAUAUUGAUUAUCAUAAGCAGAAAAUGAAAGUUAAACUUGCCGUUCAAGUUUUUAGUAGCUCAGUAGCAAAAGGUAUUCUUUUAGCACAUGAGCUAAAAAUUGAUGGGUUUGAAAACUGUGAAGGCACAGUAGACUUUAUUCAAAUGAUUGAUCGAAUGUUUGAUUUUUUAAAUACUCAAAACAUAUGUGCUAAAGGGUUUAAGGCCCCACUAUCUAAAAGAUCUCUUCUAUAUUAUGAAGAUUAUUUUGAAAAAUGUAUCAAUACUCUUAAAGCUUUAAAGUUUGAAGAUGGGAAAUAUGUAUGAUCAAAUAGAAAAACAUGCAUUAUAGGGUUAAUAGCAUCAAUGAAAAGUAUUCUGGGUAUUGGGAAUGAAUUAUUAUUGGGACCUAAUCCCAAUUCUUAUUUAUUUUCAGAUAUUUUUAUACCUCUUAACACUAACCAUAAUUAUUAUUAAUUUUUUUUUUCUUUUCUUAUUUUUGUUACGUUUUUACCUACAAAACCUCACAAGAUCAUCUUGAACUAUAUUUUAGUUGUUUACGCAGCAGAGGUUUUAAAAAUAAUCCUUCUGCUUAUCAAUUACGAUCGGCCAUAAGAGAUGUCUUGGUAGCAAAACUGGAAGUGAUAAUAACAGGUAAUUGUAUUCCAACCGAUAAUACUAAUCUAAUUUGUGGAGAUUUUCAGAAAAAUGCUGACAAUAACAACCAUAUUAAUCUUUAUGAAAAUUCGUUAACAUUUGUUCCUAAUAUUCCGAUAUUAUCACUCUACCUUGAAAAUGUAUCAACCUAUAUAGCAGGGUAUAUAAUACGCAAAUUAAUAUCUGAAAAAAAGUAACAUGAUAUACAUGCAUAACAGCUAUGAUGGAUAUCAAAAUCAUAAAAAUAGUGAUGCUUAUAAUUUGAUAAAAAUAAAAAACAAUCAGGGGUUAAUAAUUCCUUCUAAGAGUGUUUCAAUAUUAUGCCAAAUUUCUGAAAGUGCAUUCCGUGUUUUUGAAAAAUCAUUGCUAAUAAAAAAAAAAUUUAUUUUCAAAAGGAUUGUAUCAUUUAUUCUAUUAAUCAUAUGCUUAAUCAAGAAGCACUAUUCUCCCAUUAUCAAAUUCUAAUUACAUUAAUAAUUGAACAUUAUUUGCACAUUCGAUUUCAUCAUUAUGGUAAUAAUCAAAAUAGAAAAUCGAAUAUCAAUAUUCGUCAGAA